rnacentral:rRNA from 1 species
UACGGAAGGCAGCAGUGGGGAAUAUUGCACAAUGGGCGAAAGCCUGAUGCAGCUAUGCCGCGUGUAUGAAGAAGGCCUUUAGGGUUGUAAAGUACUUUCAUCGGGGAGGAAAAACAAAACUAAUAAUUUUAUUUCUUGACGUUACCCGAAAAAGAAGCACCGGCUAACUCCGUGCCAGCAGCCGCGGUAAUACGGAGGGUGCUAGCGUUAAUCAGAAUUACUGGGCGUAAAGAGCACGUAGGUGGUUUUUUUAAGUCAGAUGUGAAAUCCCUGGGCUUAACCUAGGAACUGCAUUUUGAAACUGAAAUACUAGAGUAUCGUAGAGGGAGGUAGAAUUCUAGGUGUAGCGGUGAAAUGCGUAGAUAUCUGGAGGAAUACCUGUGGCGAAAGCGGCCUCCUAAACGAAUACUGACACUGAGGGUGCGAAAGCGUGGGGAGCAAAACAGGGAUUAGAUACC